rnacentral:rRNA from 1 species
AACGAACGCUGGCGGCGUGCUUAACACAUGCAAGUCGAACGCGAAAGGGAUUUCGAUCCUGAGUAGAGUGGCGCACGGGUGAGUAACGCGUAAGUUAUCUCCCCCUCCAUCUGGAAUAACUCACCGAAAAGUGUGCUAAUACCGGAUACGUUGGAAACAAGAAAGGUGGCCUCUAUUUAUACGCUACCGUGGAGGGAUGGGCUUGCGUACCAUUAGCUAGUUGGUAGGGUAAUGGCCUACCAAGGCAACGAUGGUUAGCGGGUCUGAGAGGAUGAUCCGCCACACUGGAACUGGAACACGGACCAGACUCCUACGGGAGGCAGCAGUGAGGAAUAUUGCGCAAUGGGGGAAACCCUGACGCAGCGACGCCGCGUGGAUGAUGAAGGCCCUUGGGUCGUAAAAUCCUGUCAGAUGGAAAGAAAUGUAC